rnacentral:rRNA from 1 species
UACGAAGGGGGCGAGCGUUGUUCGGAUUUACUGGGCGUAAAGGGCGCGUAGGCGGCCCUUCAAGUCAGGCGUGAAAGCCCCGGGCUCAACCUGGGAGGUGCGCUUGGGACUGGAGGGCUGGAGUUCGGGAGAGGAGCGUGGAAUUCCCGGUGUAGUGGUGAAAUGCGUAGAUAUCGGGAGGAACACCAGUGGCGAAGGCGGCUUCCUGGCCUGUUCUUGACGCUGAGGCGCGAAAGCUAGGGGAGCAAACGGG